CCAAUAGCGUAUAUUAAAGUUGUUGCAGUUAAAAAGCUCGUAGUUGAAUUUCGGGAUCAGAUUGUCGGUCGUGCCUCGGUACGCACUGGCAUUAUUGGUUCCUACCUUCUGAAGAACCGCGAUGUCAUUAAUUUGGUGUCACGGGGAAUCAGGACUGUUACUUUGAAAAAAUUAGAGUGUUUAAAGCAGGCGCACGCUUGAAUACAUUAGCAUGGAAUAAUGAAAUAGGACGUUUGAUUCUAUUUUGUUGGUUUCUAGGAUCGACGUAAUGAUUAAUAGGGAUAGUUGGGGGCAUUAGUAUUCAAUUGUCAGAGGUGAAAUUCUUGGAUUUAUUGAAGACUAACUACUGCGAAAGCAUUUGCCAAGGAUGUUUUCAUUAAUCAAGAACGAAAGUUAGGGGAUCGAAGACGAUCAGAUACCGUCGUAGUCUUAACCAUAAACUAUGCCGACUAGGGAUCGGAUGAUGUUAAUUUUUUAAUGACUCAUUCGGCGCCUUACG
rnacentral:rRNA from 1 species